GGCCCAAUGGUCUAGUGGUAUGAUUCGCGCUUCGGGUUGUUCUCUUGAACUCCCUCCGUUUGUUUCAACAAGUGGGAGCAUGUGCGAGGUCUCGGGUUCGAGUCCCGAUUGGGCCC